CUGAUCAAGUCAACGAGUUUACAACCUUGGCCGGAAGGUCUGGGUAAUCUUUUGAAACUUGAUCGUGCUGGGGAUAGUCCANUGCAAUUAUUGGACUUCAACGAGGAAUUCCUAGUAAGCGUGAGUCAUCAGCUCGCGUUGAUUACGUCCCUGCCCUUUGUACACACCGCCCGUCGCUACUACCGAUUGAAUGGCUUAGUGAGGCUUUCGGAUUGGAUUCUGGCAGCUGGCAACAGCAGCUAGAAACUGAAAAGUUAUCCAAACUUGCUCAUUUAGAGGAAGUAAAAGUCGUAACAAGGU
rnacentral:rRNA from 1 species